rnacentral:rRNA from 1 species
ACUAAGCGUACACGGUGGAUGCCCUGGCAGUCAGAGGCGAUGAAGGACGUGCUAAUCUGCGAUAAGCGCCGGUAAGGUGAUAUGAACCGUUAUAACCGGCGAUUUCCGAAUGGGGAAACCCAGUGUGAUUCGUCACACUAUCAUUAACUGAAUCCAUAGGUUAAUGAGGCGAACCGGGGGAACUGAAACAUCUAAGUACCCCGAGGAAAAGAAAUCAACCGAGAUUCCCCCAGUAGCGGCGAGCGAACGGGGAGGAGCCCAGAGCCUGAAUCAGCAUGUGUGUUAGUGGAAGCGUCUGGAAAGGCGCGCGAUACAGGGUGACAGCCCCGUACACAAAAGCGCAUGUGUUGUGAGCUCGAUGAGUAGGGCGGGACACGUGGUAUCCUGUCUGAAUAUGGGGGGACCAUCCUCCAAGGCUAAAUACUCCUGACUGACCGAUAGUGAACCAGUACCGUGAGGGAAAGGCGAAAAGAACCCCGGCGAGGGGAGUGAAAAAGAACCUGAAACCGUGUACGUACAAGCAGUGGGAGCUGAGGGAAAGGCGAAAAGAACCCCGGCGAGGGGAGUGAAAAAGAACCUGAAACCGUGUACGUACAAGCAGUGGGAGCCCCACCACUAAGCCAGUGGUGAACUCCACAUACGCAUCCUUUGCUGAGGAUACGGUUAACGGAGCGCAAGCGACGUUCAACCGCAAAAGAAGCAGAGGGGGCUUAGUGGUGGGGUGACUGCGUACCUUUUGUAUAAUGGGUCAGCGACUUAUAUUCUGUAGCAAGGUUAACCGUAUAGGGGAGCCGGAGGGAAACCGAGUCUUAAUUGGGCGUUAAGUUGCAGGGUAUAGACCCGAAACCCGGUGAUCUAGCCAUGGGCAGGUUNAGGGAAACCGAGUCUUAAUUGGGCGUUAAGUUGCAGGGUAUAGACCCGAAACCCGGUGAUCUAGCCAUGGGCAGGUUGAAGGUUGGGUAACACUAACUGGAGGACCGAACCGACUAAUGUUGAAAAAUUAGCGGAUGACCUGUGGCUGGGGGUGAAAGGCCAAUCAAACCGGGAGAUAGCUGGUUCUCCCCGAAAGCUAUUUAGGUAGCGCCUCGUGAAUUCAUCUCCGGGGGUAGAGCACUGUUUCGGCUAGGGGGCCAUCCCGGCUUACCAACCCGAUGCAAACUGCGAAUACCGGAGAAUGUUAUCACGGGAGACACACGGCGGGUGCUAACGUCCGUCGUGAAGAGGGAAACAACCCAGACCGCCAGCUAAGGUCCCAAAGUCAUGGUUAAGUGGGAAACGAUGUGGGAAGGCCCAGACAGCCAGGAUGUUGGCUUAGAAGCAGCCAUCAUUUAAAGAAAGCGUAAUAGCUCACUGGUCGAGUCGGCCUGCGCGGAAGAUGUAACGGGGCUAAACCAUGCACCGAAGCUGCGGCAGCGAACGUAUCACUUAAAGCGAUUCAGCGGGUUACGAUUGACGGAGCGAAGCGACGUCAAAGCGUAUACAAAGUCGAGUCGGUUUAAGGAUACGUUCGUUGGGUAGGGGAGCGUUCUGUAAGCCUGUGAAGGUGGCCUGUGAGGGUUGCUGGAGGUAUCAGAAGUGCGAAUGCUGUUGGGUAGGGGAGCGUUCUGUAAGCCUGUGAAGGUGGCCUGUGAGGGUUGCUGGAGGUAUCAGAAGUGCGAAUGCUGACAUAAGUAACGAUAAAGCGGGUGAAAAGCCCGCUCGCCGGAAGACCAAGGGUUCCUGUCCAACGUUAAUCGGGGCAGGGUGAGUCGACCCCUAAGGCGAGGCCGAAAGGCGUAGUCGAUGGGAAACGGGUUAAUAUUCCCGUACUUGGUGUUACUGCGAAGGGGGGACGGAGAAGGCUAUGUUGGCCGGGCGACGGUUGUCCCGGUUUAAGCGUGUAGGUGUGUGUUCCAGGUAAAUCCGGUUCACUUUAACACUGAGGCGUGAUGACGAGGCACUACGGUGCUGAAGCAACAAAUGCCCUGCUUCCAGGAAAAGCCUCUAAGCAUCAGGUAACAUCAAAUCGUACCCCAAACCGACACAGGUGGUCAGGUAGAGAAUACCAAGGCGCUUGAGAGAACUCGGGUGAAGGAACUAGGCAAAAUGGUGCCGUAACUUCGGGAGAAGGCACGCUGACAUGUAGGUGAAGUGAUUUACUCAUGGAGCUGAAGUCAGUCGAAGAUACCAGCUGGCUGCAACUGUUUAUUAAAAACACAGCACUGUGCAAACACGAAAGUGGACGUAUACGGUGUGACGCCUGCCCGGUGCCGGAAGGUUAAUUGAUGGGGUCAGCGCAAGCGAAGCUCCUGAUCGAAGCCCCGGUAAACGGCGGCCGUAACUAUAACGGUCCUAAGGUAGCGAAAUUCCUUGUCGGGUAAGUUCCGACCUGCACGAAUGGCGUAAUGAUGGCCAGGCUGUCUCCACCCGAGACUCAGUGAAAUUGAACUCGCUGUGAAGAUGCAGUGUACCCGCGGCAAGACGGAAAGACCCCGUGAACCUUUACUAUAGCUUGACACUGAACAUUGAGCCUUGAUGUGUAGGAUAGGUGGGAGGCUUUGAAGUGUGGACGCCAGUCUGCAUGGAGCCGGCCUUGAAAUACCACCCUUUAAUGUUUGAUGUUCUAACGUGGACCCGUAAUCCGGGUUGCGGACAGUGUCUGGUGGGUAGUUUGACUGGGGCGGUCUCCUCCUAAAGAGUAACGGAGGAGCACGAAGGUUGGCUAAUCCUGGUCGGACAUCAGGAGGUUAGUGCAAUGGCAUAAGCCAGCUUGACUGCGAGCGUGACGGCGCGAGCAGGUGCGAAAGCAGGUCAUAGUGAUCCGGUGGUUCUGAAUGGAAGGGCCAUCGCUCAACGGAUAAAAGGUACUCCGGGGAUAACAGGCUGAUACCGCCCAAGAGUUCAUAUCGACGGCGGUGUUUGGCACCUCGAUGUCGGCUCAUCACAUCCUGGGGCUGAAGUAGGUCCCAAGGGUAUGGCUGUUCGCCAUUUAAAGUGGUACGCGAGCUGGGUUUAGAACGUCGUGAGACAGUUCGGUCCCUAUCUGCCGUGGGCGCUGGAGAACUGAGGGGGGCUGCUCCUAGUACGAGAGGACCGGAGUGGACGCAUCACUGGUGUUCGGGUUGUCAUGCCAAUGGCACUGCCCGGUAGCUAAAUGCGGAAGAGAUAAGUGCUGAAAGCAUCUAAGCACGAAACUUGCCCCGAGAUGAGUUCUCCCUGAGACUUAAAGUCUCCUGAAGGAACGUUGAAGACGACGACGUUGAUAGGCCGGGUGUGUAAGCGCAGCGAUGCGUUGAGCUAACCGGUACUAAUGAACCGUGAGGCUUAACC